UUGGAGGGCAAGUCUGGUGCCACAGCCGCGGUAAUUCCAGCUCCAAUAGCGUCUUUAAGUUGAUGCAGUUAAAAAGCUCGUACUGAAUUUCGGGAUCAAUAUAACGGUCAUGCCGUUGGUAUGCACUGUUAAAUUAUUUCUCACCUUCUAAAGAACCGUAAUGCCAUUAAUUGGUGUCACGGGGAAUUAGGACUGUUACCUUGAAAAUUAGAGUGUUUAAAGCAGGCUCACGCUUGAAUACAUUAGCAUGGAAUAAUGAAAUAGGACAUCCGAUUCUAUUUUGUUGGUUUCUAGGAUCGAUGUAAUGAUUAAUAGGGAUAGUUGGGGGCAUUAGUAUUCAAUUGUCAGAGGUGAAAUUCUUGGAUUUAUUGAAGACUAACUACUGCGAAAGCAUUUGCCAAGGAUGUUUUCAUUAAUCAAGAACGAAAGUUAGGGGAUCGAAGACGAUCAGAUACCGUCGUAGUCUUAACCAUAAACUAUGCCGACUAGGGAUCGGAUGAUGUUAAUUUUUUAAUGACUCAUUCGGCGCCUUACGGGAAAC
rnacentral:rRNA from 1 species